AUGAGGUGCUUAAGUUGGAACUGCCGGGGGCUUGGGAACCCCGAGGCAGUUCGUGAGCUUCGCAAUGACGUGAAGCAAGAAGGGCCUGCCCUACUUUUUGUGAUGGAAACAAAAAUAAGGGCGAAGAGGGUGGAGAGCUUACAGAACACUCUUGGUUUUGUUGGUAGUUUUGCGGUGGAUAGUGUGGGACUCAGUGGUGGCAUCGGGUUUUUUUGGUCAAGAGAUGUUACAGUUGAGUUACAAAACUUCAGUGCUGGACAUAUCGAUGUGAUAGUCCAGAAAGCUGAUCAGACCUCCCUGGCUUGGAGGUUUACGGGGUUCUAUGGGGCCCCAAGGAGUGAGGACCGGCAUCACAGCUGGAGAUGUUUACGUAACCUGCAUGCAGUGCAACAUUAG
rnacentral:rRNA from 1 species